AAAACAAUGAGUCACCUGCUGCAGAAACAGAAAAAGUCGUCCCUUUAAAUCAGAAGACUUGCACAGAUAUCAAAACUCCAGUAGCUUCUGUGGAAAGUCAUUCAGAUGAGGAGAUUGCCCCAAAUUUUAAUGCACUUCCGAGGCCAAAAGCUUGUUGAAAUUAGCCUUAAAAAGUAGAUUAUGGCAGUAUGGAAAAGCCACCUAUGAAAGAAAAAGGACCUACAAAAAUGUCUAUUCCGUCUCUGUCAGAUUUUGAAGAUAUGGAUGAAGAAGGAGGAUCU